CGGAGGGAGUAAGACUUACAUUUAGUAGGUUGAGGAUUCGAGUCAUCAAGCAAGAUGAAAAUGGGCAUGAAUGAUCAAAAUAUAUUAUGUAGUCGUUUCCAAUAUCGUAAGCAAAAUAAUCCUAUUAUUGAUUUGAUCAUGAUGCAGUUUCAACGUAGAAAUCGGGCAAAAACCUGCGGUGUCCAUAUGAUUUGAAAUUCCCACGGUACAUGCGAAACAUGAUUUGGAAUCGAACUCAACACGACUUAGUCACGAUGAUGGACGAUGGAUUUUGGCCAUCUGACAUUGUUUAGUGAGUGAAAAGUGAAAUUUACUGUUUUUUCGGGUUUAUUUUUAAUUUUCUAUUUUGCGUUUUAUUUCCUUUUGAAUUUUUAGGGUUUUUAGACGCUUAUAAAUAGCGUUGUUUUUGUUUUGGGCCACAGUUGAUUUUUUAUAAUUAUAAUUUCGUUUUAACAGAAACUAGUGUUUCUUGAUUACUUCUCCGUUCAGUCUUGUUUCUCUAUACGUUUUGCAUCAGAUCAUCGUAUAUUAAUGAAUCGUUGCCCAAGUCAAGUUCAAAUCCAAGCAGGUGAUUUACAUGGAAUUUUUUAAGUUUAAGGUUGUACUAUCUUAUUUGCCCCCUUGUUCAUAAAUACUUUAUUUUUAAUAUAAUCAAUCAUUAAAAAUUAAUAUGAAUGCAAUUAAAUUUUCAAUAGUCAACUUUGAAUUAUAUUAACCUAAUUCAUCAUAAAAAUAUUGUUUCCAAAAGUCUUCAUCUUAAAAUUAGUCAAUUGACAGAUUUGGUAUCAAAUACAUGUGAUGAUGAAUAUAAUUUCAAAAUAAUAUUUGUAUGGCAUGCAUGAUGAUAUAGUGCUGACUUUGUAGAGAUUAGCCACAAAACAACCAUUUCCAUUUUAACAACUGCAGUCCAAAAAUUUUAAACACUAGAUUUGCACACCACCGGCGUUGCCAACACCGCCACUUCACCACCACCUCCGCCACCACUUCCCGUUGUCUCUUGAUAUUUCAUAUCAAGUCAUGGCGGCUUAUGCUGCAGCGUCUUCUCUUCAGAAUACAAUUCAGCAUAUUCAACAAUCGUCUCGUAUUUCGCUGAUUCCUCCCUCUUCAGAGAUCCUACAACCGGCCUACGAGGCCAUGUCUCGUUUGCAGAAAGUUCUGCUAAAAUUGGACGACACCAGCUGCAGCAAGAUCAGGACGGAGGUGAACGCGUUGGAUGAACGAAUCAAAGAGGCUUCAUGGGAAUCUGAAGAUUUACUAGAAUCUGAAUUCGUUGAUCAAGUUCUUCCACAACUAGAAUCUGAAUUCGUUGAUCUCUAUAAUGGGGGAGGAAAUGAGAGGGCAAAAGGGGGCACAUAGCAAGGUAUGCUUCAUUUCAAUUGUAUUAGUAUUAGUGUAUUACCAUGUUGUUUCAUAAAUAUAAGCAUAUGUAGUUAUUUGUUGGGCUUGUUGAGGUUUAUGAAACCCCAAUACUGGAAUUUUUGUAACCGACACUGCUGUGAGUUAAUUUGUGUGAAAAAUACUAAAGACAACAGUGAUAAAGCUUUAUAGAAAUUAGGAAACAAUGAGAUAUAUGAGUAGGAAAAUAUAUUUGAUUAUGUUUUAAUAUGUUGGUUUGCAUGUUGUAGAAAGCACACUGCAAGAGCAAUGCACUCCUUACGUCCAUAAUUAAGUGCCUCACGUUCCUUUUUCGUCCGUCCACAAUUAAGUGUCUCAUUUGUCUUUUAGUAGUACUACUUUUGGUAAUGGACUCCACAUUUCAGUAACUCGUUUCACUUAUAUUUUAUUAGAAAACUAAGUCCUACAUUGUGCUAACUUUUCUACCUACUUUUUAUUAUAUAUCUUAAAACCCGAGCAAGUCAACUUAUAUCACUUAAUCGUGGGUGGACGGGGCAUGAAUAUAGGUGAAGAUCUUAAAUUUGCUCAAAAAACUUGAUGCUUCACGUUGGUAAGCUCUCUACAAAUGUAAAUUUGCUUUUGUAUUUACAUUAGUUAUAUGUAGGAGUUUAUUCACUUCUAAUUCACAAACUGGUCAACAUAUUAGACAAAGAGUGAUAGGCUGAUUUGUGUCACGUGUUUUCGAUCGAGUUGUGUGGAUAAAAUGGAACUUAUCUGCAUGAAAAGAUGCUUUUGUGGCAGGGAUCUGUGGAUAGUUGAAUUUCUUGAGCCAAGCAUGGUUUGAUAUAUUUGUUCUGCCUUACCAAGAUUGCUAAGUAGUGUUAGGAUCGUCGACUGCAACAUUAGUUUGAUAUUGUCCACUUUGGGUCAGGCCCGCACGGAUUUGUUUUUGGGUCACUCCCAAAAUGCCUCAAAUUAAUUGGGGUUGGACAGGAAUUAUAUACACCUUCCAACUUCCCUCACUCAUCCGAUGUGUGAUAGGUUUGUAACCCAACAAGUAGUUGUUUUUUAUGGGUCCAGCCACCACCAUCAAUUAUUGCAGUUGUGGCCGAAGAAAAGGGCAUAUGGGUCACAUGACAUAUUUAUGUAUCGCAAGUAACUCAAAAUUCUUUCUCAAAAAACGAUAAAUCUAAGUAAUUAUGAAGCGCAACUUAGUUGAUACUCCCUCCGUCCCUGAAAAUUUGUCACAUAUUUCCUUUUUCGUCCGUCCCUAAAAAUUUGUCACCUUUCACUUUUACCAUUUUUGGUAGUGGACCCUACAUUCCACUAACUCAUUCACACUCACAUUUUAUUAUAAAACUAAUAUAUAAAAGUAGGACCCACAUGCCACCAACUUUUUCAACUCACUUUCUAUUAUAUUUCUUAAAACCCGUACCGAGUCAAUUGGUGACGAAUUUUGGAGGACGGAGGGAGUAAGACUUACAUUUAGUAGGUUGAGGAUUCGAGUCAUCAAGCAAGAUGAAAAUGGGCAUGAAUGAUCAAAAUAUAUUAUGUAGUCGUUUCCAAUAUCGUAAGCAAAAUAAUCCUAUUAUUGAUUUGAUCAUGAUGCAGUUUCAACGUAGAAAUCGGGCAAAAACCUGCGGUGUCCAUAUGAUUUGAAAUUCCCACGGUACAUGCGAAACAUGAUUUGGAAUCGAACUCAACACGACUUAGUCACGAUGAUGGACGAUGGAUUUUGGCCAUCUGACAUUGUUUAGUGAGUGAAAAGUGAAAUUUACUGUUUUUUCGGGUUUAUUUUUAAUUUUCUAUUUUGCGUUUUAUUUCCUUUUGAAUUUUUAGGGUUUUUAGACGCUUAUAAAUAGCGUUGUUUUUGUUUUGGGCCACAGUUGAUUUUUGAUAAUUAUAAUUUCGUUUUAACAGAAACUAGUGUUUCUUGAUUACUUCUCCGUUCAGUCUUGUUUCUCUAUACGUUUUGCAUCAGAUCAUCGUAUAUUAAUGAAUCGUUGCCCAAGUCAAGUUCAAAUCCAAGCAGGUGAUUUACAUGGAAUUUUUUAAGUUUAAGGUUGUACUAUCUUAUUUGCCCCCUUGUUCAUAAAUACUUUAUUUUUAAUAUAAUCAAUCAUUAAAAAUUAAUAUGAAUGCAAUUAAAUUUUCAAUAGUCAACUUUGAAUUAUAUUAACCUAAUUCAUCAUAAAAAUAUUGUUUCCAAAAGUCUUCAUCUUAAAAUUAGUCAAUUGACAGAUUUGGUAUCAAAUACAUGUGAUGAUGAAUAUAAUUUCAAAAUAAUAUUUGUAUGGCAUGCAUGAUGAUAUAGUGCUGACUUUGUAGAGAUUAGCCACAAAACAACCAUUUCCAUUUUAACAACUGCAGUCCAAAAAUUUUAAACACUAGAUUUGCACACCACCGGCGUUGCCAACACCGCCACUUCACCACCACCUCCGCCACCACUUCCCGUUGUCUCUUGAUAUUUCAUAUCAAGUCAUGGCGGCUUAUGCUGCAGCGUCUUCUCUUCAGAAUACAAUUCAGCAUAUUCAACAAUCGUCUCGUAUUUCGCUGAUUCCUCCCUCUUCAGAGAUCCUACAACCGGCCUACGAGGCCAUGUCUCGUUUGCAGAAAGUUCUGCUAAAAUUGGACGACACCAGCUGCAGCAAGAUCAGGACGGAGGUGAACGCGUUGGAUGAACGAAUCAAAGAGGCUGCAUGGGAAUCUGAAGAUUUACUAGAAUCUGAAUUCGUUGAUCAAGUUCUUCCACAACUUGAAAGCUUGCCAAGAGUUGAGGGAGAUCGCUUGCCUUUCCAUGUUGAUCUGGAGAGUCUGCAACGUUGUGUUGAUAACUUGCUCGAGAAGAUGACCGCGAUGGAGGAGGAGUAUUGAUACGGACAUAGCAUCAACCCCGAAUGACGGGCUUCCGGCAGAGGAGAGCGAGGCAUCAAUCCCGAAUGACGGACCUCCGAUAGAGGAGAGCGAGGCAGGGGAGCUGCUGACGGAAGAGUGCGUAGCAGGGGACGAGACGUUCCAGACAACGGAGGAGGAGACACCAGCAGUGGAGUUGCCGGCGACCAGCGGCCGUCCUAGGAUACAACCCAAGCCGAUAGUUCGAUAUGGGGACUUUGUGUCGCGCUAGAGAAGGAGCACAGAAGACGGCAGGUUAUUUUUGCAUUAGAUUAGUAUUAUUUAUUUUUGAGUAUUUUCCUUUAAACAUUAUGGAUAUUUUUAUUAUUAUUUGAGUCGAGCCCAAUAAGCUCCUUUCCGGGUUUUCUUGGUGAUUCUUUCCCGGAUCGCAAAAGAGAGUCGAAUCAUCUAGGGUCCUUAGAUAUAAAAGGGAGCAAUGUUGUGAAUUAUCAACAACGAAAUACAUAAUAUUUUCCCUACUUUCUUGUUCUUUAAGUUUCUGCAACCCUAAUCCGGAGCUGAUCUCAAGGAACGCUUGAGACGUCCGCCGCUAUCUCAUUCAACGUCGACUACUCGUCGUCGAUCCUUACUUGUUGGGGGGAACCACCCUUAACAAGUAUGAUAUUGAACUGGAGAAUAUGCCUGACGAAGAAGGCGAACCUAUUUCCUCAAGAAUUGAUUUUGGUGGAAUCAACUCAGAGAUGGUUGGAUUAUCUGACCAAUUUGAACAAAUCCGGGAUUAUCUUGUAGAAGAUGAAGGGACUUGGUUAUCAGUUGUUGGGGUGGCAGGGGUUGGUAAGACAACUCUUGCUAAGAAAGUUUUUGACGAUCCAUCAAUCCAGAAACAUUUCGAGUAUCGAGCAUGGGUCAAAGUGAGUAGAAAGUGUGAAUAUAAUGAAAUAUUACGAUGGAUACUAGCUCAAGUGGAUCCCAACACUCACCACCAAAUGCUCUCCCAAGGAGACAACGAUGAUGGCGACGAUAAAUUAGUUGGACUCUUGGAAGAGAGAUUGAAGGAUAAGACAUGCCUCAUUGUGUUGGAUGAUGUAUGGGAAUGGGACACUCGAGUAAUGGAUAGCUUGCCAGAAGAGAAUGUACAGAUCUUGGUUACAAGCAGACUAAGAAUUCAAGUAUAUCCUAUUCAAGUAGUACGCUUGUUGAAUGAAGAAGAGAGUAAGAAAUUACUUGGUGAGAAAGUGUUUGGUGAAGAGGGUUUCCCUUUUAGCCUUGAGAAAUUGGGAGAGAAGAUAGCCAAGAAAUGUGAAGGUCUUCCACUAAUAAUCAAAUAUCCGAGGUACUUUUUCCGAGUUAUGACUACUUACCUCAAUAUUUAAAAAUGAUUUUUCUCUAUUUGGGAGCUUUCCCUCCAUAUAGUGAUAUUGACAUACACAACCUAUUCGACCGGUUGUGUGCUGAAGGGUUUCUUGAACCAAUUGAAAUACAAAAUUCAAAAGACUUUAUGGAUAGUUUGGGAGAUUUUAUGGAUGGAGAACAAACUUUGGAAGAUUUUAUGGCCCAAUGCACGGCAAAGCUUGCAUAUUGGUAUCAUCUUGUUUUACUCGAAUCAAAUCCAGAAUCUUGGUUUUCAAAGAAAGAGUUUCGUGUGCAUUCUUGUUGGCAACACUUGUGUAAGAACGAAGCUAGUGGGAUAAAGUUUUUGCAUGUUUUAGAAAGUUGUGAUGAUGUUUUGAGAGAUCAGCGUCGGUUGUGUGCUCAUUCAAACACUUUAUUUGCCUUCAAAGAAAUGUGUGAUUCAAUAAACAGUGAUUGUGCAUCCACUGUCCAUUCUCUACUUUGCUUAGGUGCUUAUCACCAAUAUCCGGUGCCAAUACAUGACAUGGAUUUCAAGUUGCUCAGGGUACUAGAUGCUUUUAAGAUCUGAUUUUACAAUGUCCCACUUGAAUUUCUGAAACUAGUUUGUCUAAAGUACCUUGCCCUAACUUGCAACAAAGAGCUCCCUAUUUCCACAUCCAACCUUUUUCACCUUCAAUUCUUAAUUAUCCAUCCACAUAUGCACAUUAAAAAGCAUGGAUUUCUAUCAUAUAUGCCGGUGGAAAUUUGGGAUAUGCAAGAAUUACAACAUAUUGAGGUCUUAGGAACAGACCUACCAACCCCUAAUUAUGAUGCUACUUUGGGCAAUGUCUCCAGUCUUGUUGGUGUGAGUGCAAAAAGUUGCACUAGAGAAAUUCUCAAAAGAAUCCCUAAUUUAAAAGAAUUAGGAAUUCUAAUAGAGUUGAAGCCUUAUGAAGAUGAUGGGGAUGAUAGCAAUUCAAUGAUUGGCUUUGAUUAUAUAUCAGAGGAUCUCCACAAUUUGCACGUACUAUCUUAUUAUAUAUUGAACCCUAAUAUGAAGUAUGAGUUUGUGGUUCCUCUUUCAAUAUUCCCAUCAAGUUUGACAAGGUUGGAGUUGAAAGGUUUAGGAUUUCCAUGGAGGGUUAUGAAUCAUAUUGGUUCACUGGUACCAAAUCUAAAAGAUCUCAGGUUAGAACACUAUGCCUUUCGAGGCCCAGAGUGGGAUAUAGAAUCGGGUUGUUUUUUAAAUCUUGGGACACUUGUAAUUGAAAACAAUGAUUUGGUGCGAUGGAGUCCUCAACGUGGAACUCUCCCAAGCCUUGGCCUCCUAAGUGUACGGCAUUGCUACAAAUUAAAAGAGCUCAAUUGGUCGCCUGCAAUGAUCACAUUAAGUACAAUUGAAUUAGUUGAGUGCAAUCCGCUAGCUGUUGCUUCUGCUAGGCAACUAAAACCAUAAUCACUCUUUAUAGUUCGUUGCUACUCUUCUUUUUGAGAUGGGAAAUUCUAGUCAUACUCUUAAUUGGUGAAAAGGUUUUGUUGAGGGUUUCUACCGAAGAUCUGAGUCAUGGGAUUAUAUGUGAUAGUUGCACUUGUUUGAAUAUCUAUGAACCCAUAUAUCCUUUAUUCUUUUAUCGUUUCCAAUGUAAAAAUGAAAGCACAUGUUACAGUCUCCGAUGUGAGGAAACUUGUCCCGCAUCAAUUGUAUAAGGCAAUAUAGAUGUGGGGCUUAUAUAUAAACCUAAUGAGUUUUCACUGAUGGACUAGUUUUGGGGACAAUUUCUCAUGCUUGGUAGUAUGUAAUAUUGGCACUUCCAUUGAAAGCUUGAUGACUUAGGAGUAAUACAGAAAACCAUGCUUAUAGUUGCUUGUAUUGCAAAUCCUUAUUUCUCCGGUUUAUAAGAUGAAUUAUUGACAAACACAGAUUUUGUAUGUUUUUUAAGGACUAGAUUUGACUUGUUUUAAAUGUCAUGCAAAUUAUGUUCUAAAAUUGCAUAUAUUAUACAUUUGAUAUUUUUAACGUGUUUGUUGAUAAAUGAUAUAAAAAGACAGGAAAAAGGUGCAAAAAGGCCAAGGUGCAGCAGCCUCAGUUCAAGCCGAUUUUACCGGCAGUUUUGGAGUCCAGUCAGUUAUUAAUGCAUACCAUUGUCUUCGUCUUCGAAAGAGCUUCGAAUGGAUAUCUUUCACGUCUCAAUCGGAGUUCUGUGGAGAAAGUUAUGACCAUUCUACGAACAUUGCGCAGUGCAGUCAAAGCUGAAGGAAAUUUAGGCGAAAAUUUAGGGAAGAAAAUAAUUGCUCAAAUCUCUCCCAUUUCUUGAAGGCCACGAAAAUUAUCAAAAUUAAACUUUUUUCCUAUCUAUAAAUACCUCUUAACCUAAUUCAUAAUCUUCAUUUCAGAGCCUCCAAUCAUUCUCCCUCUCUACACAUUCUUCCAUCCCA